UAUAUACACCCCUGUAUAUUUAUUAGGUAUUUAGGUAUUUUUUAUAUACACCCCUAUAUAUUUAUUUAAUAAAAUAAAUGUAUAGGGGUGUAUAUAAAAUUUACCUAAAUACCUAAUAAAUAUAUAGGGGUGUAUAUA